rnacentral:lncRNA from 1 species
UUAUUAAAGAAGGAGGCGGGGCUCCCUCAAUGGGGUGUUGUAGGAGACCCGGAGUUCGGGGCUGGAAGGGGGUAAAUCCAAAGUGGCUGCCUUUAGGCUGCAAGCGCUUGGUUUUUAACAUGGUCGAGGUAGACUGUCCUUCAGCCUGUAGGAGGCAAAGUCUGGGUGCCGCCUGCGCUGGAUACCAGAAAAGCGUGUUUGAUCGUCUGGCACUGCGGAGUGACAGAAACUGUUCUCUGCCAUUAAACAGAGGUGGUUUUUGUGAGAGGAGGUUUCCAUAUGGAAGUGGAUGCUCUGUAAUUCAGGGAUAACGAGCCUACGUGUGGCAUUUCGGAAAGAUCAGUCACCAAUGGAAAAACACAGUGUGGAAGAGUUCGCAGACCUACUAUGUUUUCUCACCUCAUCCUGCAAAGAGCCUCACAUUUCCAUUUUAAUUGGGGAACUUGUAUUCAUGACUGAUGAUCCAGCUCAAUAUCUGCCUUCAAAUUUUCAGCAAAUUGCAAAUCAGUCCAAGACACUUAGAGGCAUAAAAAAUACCUGGAAAGACCUAAGCAAAGCAACACAGUGUGCAGAGAUUCUGAAAAGGUUAUGGAAGGAUAAACAAGACCUAAGCAUAAAUCUGAGUAUCCACUGCUUUCAAACUCAAUAGCCCUUAUUUCCUUUUGCAGUUUUUAUUACAACAGUGCCCAAAAGCUUCAAGUUGAAUUAGGGGUCUUUAUUCUGAGAACCAUGCAGAAGAAGAUAAAGAAAAAAGUUCCCAGAUGAUAAAUUGCAAAAUACAUAGUGUCAUGUAUACUAUAUUUUUCAAAAAUCAGAAAUGAAUUACAAUGUCCUCUUCCUCAUGUAUACCCUCAUGUCUACCCCUACCACCAGAUCAGACUCAUAGCAAAAGGGCUUCUUGUUCACCUCAGAGCUGCUUUUGGAACCUCUUUCAAUCAUUCCAAAUAAUGCCAGGUUUGUCUCCUGUUAAAAUCCAUCUGUAUACUGAUUUCACUCUAAGAAUCAUAGAAUGGCUUGGGUUAGAAUAGUCCUCAAAGAUCACCCAGUUUCAACUCCCCUGACAUGGGCAGGGUGGCCAGCCACUAGAUCAUGCUGCCCAGGGCUGCCUCCAACCUGGCCUUGAAUGCCUCCAGAGAUGAGGCAUCCACAACUUCUCUGGACAGCCUAUUCCAACAUUUCACCACCCUCACAGUGAAAAUUUCCCCGACAUCUAAUCUAAAUCUCCUCUCUUUUACUUUAUAACCAUUCUACCUUGUCCUAUCACUAUCUAUCUGUGCAAAAAG